GAUGAACGCUGGCGGCGUGCCUAAUACAUGCAAGUCGAGCGAACGGACGAGAAGCUUGCUUCUCUGAUGUUAGCGGCGGACGGGUGAGUAACACGUGGAUAACCUACCUAUAAGACUGGGAUAACUUCGGGAAACCGGAGCUAAUACCGGAUAAUAUUUUGAACCGCAUGGUUCAAAAGUGAAAGACGGUCUUGCUGUCACUUAUAGAUGGAUCCGCGCUGCAUUAGCUAGUUGGUAAGGUAACGGCUUACCAAGGCAACGAUGCAUAGCCGACCUGAGAGGGUGAUCGGCCACACUGGAACUGAGACACGGUCCAGACUCCUACGGGAGGCAGCAGUAGGGAAUCUUCCGCAAUGGGCGAAAGCCUGACGGAGCAACGCCGCGUGAGUGAUGAAGGUCUUCGGAUCGUAAAACUCUGUUAUUAGGGAAGAACAUAUGUGUAAGUAACUGUGCACAUCUUGACGGUACCUAAUCAGAAAGCCACGGCUAACUACGUGCCAGCAGCCGCGGUAAUACGUAGGUGGCAAGCGUUAUCCGGAAUUAUUGGGCGUAAAGCGCGCGUAGGCGGUUUUUUAAGUCUGAUGUGAAAGCCCACGGCUCAACCGUGGAGGGUCAUUGGAAACUGGAAAACUUGAGUGCAGAAGAGGAAAGUGGAAUUCCAUGUGUAGCGGUGAAAUGCGCAGAGAUAUGGAGGAACACCAGUGGCGAAGGCGACUUUCUGGUCUGUAACUGACGCUGAUGUGCGAAAGCGUGGGGAUCAAACAGGAUUAGAUACCCUGGUAGUCCACGCCGUAAACGAUGAGUGCUAAGUGUUAGGGGGUUUCCGCCCCUUAGUGCUGCAGCUAACGCAUUAAGCACUCCGCCUGGGGAGUACGACCGCAAGGUUGAAACUCAAAGGAAUUGACGGGGACCCGCACAAGCGGUGGAGCAUGUGGUUUAAUUCGAAGCAACGCGAAGAACCUUACCAAAUCUUGACAUCCUUUGACAACUCUAGAGAUAGAGCCUUCCCCUUCGGGGGACAAAGUGACAGGUGGUGCAUGGUUGUCGUCAGCUCGUGUCGUGAGAUGUUGGGUUAAGUCCCGCAACGAGCGCAACCCUUAAGCUUAGUUGCCAUCAUUAAGUUGGGCACUCUAAGUUGACUGCCGGUGACAAACCGGAGGAAGGUGGGGAUGACGUCAAAUCAUCAUGCCCCUUAUGAUUUGGGCUACACACGUGCUACAAUGGACAAUACAAAGGGCAGCGAAACCGUGAGGUCAAGCAAAUCCCAUAAAGUUGUUCUCAGUUCGGAUUGUAGUCUGCAACUCGACUACAUGAAGCUGGAAUCGCUAGUAAUCGUAGAUCGGCAUGCUACGGUGAAUACGUUCCCGGGUCU
rnacentral:rRNA from 1 species